rnacentral:rRNA from 1 species
UACGUAGGGCGCAAGCGUUGUCCGGAAUUAUUGGGCGUAAAGAGCUCGUAGGCGGCCUGUUGCGUCCGCUGUGAAAUCCCGGGGCUCAACCCCGGGCCUGCAGUGGAUACGGGCUGGCUAGAGGCAGGCAGGGGAGAACGGAAUUCCUGGUGUAGCGGUGAAAUGCGCAGAUAUCGGGAGGAACACCAGUGGCGAAGGCGACUUCCUGGCCUGUUCUUGACGCUGAGGCGCGAAAGCUAGGGGAGCAAACGGG